AUUGAACGCUGGCGGCAGGCUUAACACAUGCAAGUCGAGCGGGGUGAUGGUGCUUGCACUAUCACUUAGCGGCGGACGGGUGAGUAAUGCUUAGGAAUCUGCCUAUUAGUGGGGGACAACAUCUCGAAAGGGAUGCUAAUACCGCAUACGUCCUACAGGAGAAAGCAGGGGAUCACUUGUGACCUUGCGCUAAUAGAUGAGCCUAAGUCGGAUUAGCUAGUUGAUGGGGUAAGGGCCUACCAAGGCGACGAUCUGUAGCGGGUCUGAGAGGAUGAUCCGCCACACUGGGACUGAGACACGGCCCAGACUCCUACGGGAGGCAGCAGUGGGGAAUAUUGGACAAGGGGGGGAACCCUGAUCCAGCCAUGCCGCGUGUGUGAAGAAGGCCUUAUGGUUGUAAAGCACUUUAAGCGAGGAGGAGGCUCUUUUGGUUAAUACCCAAGAUGAGUGGACGUUACUCGCAGAAUAGGCACCGGCUAACUCUGUGCCAGCCGCCGCCGUAA
rnacentral:rRNA from 1 species